UUGUAUGAACGAUGAAUUAAUUCUACAGUACUGUGUUGCUGACGGCAGGCCAAGUCAGCUGACACACACAGGAAAACAUGGCUGCAGUAUACGGAGGCGUUGAGGGUGGUGGAACUCAUUCUAAAGUGGUUUUGAUUUCUGAAGAUGGACAGAUCCUGGCAGAGGCCGAGGGACCCUGCACCAACCACUGGCUGGUUGGAACAGACAAGUGUUUGGAAGCCAUCAAUGAAAUGGUGAGGCAGGCCAAGCAGAAAGCUGAACUCGAUAUGGGCGCACCCCUCAUCUCUCUGGGUAUGUCUCUGAGUGGGGGAGAGCAGAAGGCUGCCGUCAUGAAGCUGAUAGAGGAGAUGAAGACCAGAUACCCGAGACUCAGCGAGAGCUACCACAUCACUACUGAUGCCAUUGGAGCCAUGGCGACCGCCAGUGAGAAAGGGGGAGUGGUGCUGAUCUCUGGGACUGGGUCAAACUGCAAACUGGUGAAUGUCGAUGGCACACAGGUGGGCUGUGGCGGCUGGGGUCACCUCAUGGGAGACGAGGGCUCGGCGUACUGGAUAUCGCACCUAGCUGUGAAGACCGUGUUUGACGCCACUGACAACUUUGUCCCCCCUCCGCAUGACAUCACUUACGUCAAGAAGGCCAUGUUUGACUACUUCCAGGUCUCUGAUCUCAUGGGGAUCCUCACCCAUCUCUACAGGACUUUUGAGAAGUCCAAGUUUGCAGGAUUCUGCCGAAUACUAGCUGAAGGAGCCAGCGCUGGUGACCUGCUCUGUUGCUUUUUAUUUGAGCAGGCCGGUCGAGUGCUUGCUCAGCACGUUGUAGCUGUCCUGCCCCAGGCUGAUAAGAGCCUGUUUGAGGGGGAGCUGGGCUUGCCUAUCCUGUGUGUGGGCUCCGUGUGGAACAGCUGGCAGCUACUGAAGAAAGAUGAAGAAAAGCUGAUUUGCUUCUGUCCCAGAUUCCUGCAAAAGCCAGCCCCUUGUUUUCCAAGUGCCAGGGGGUCUAAAGGACAGCAGGACCAGCCCCGUUGCCAUGCCAAUACCUGCAGGGGUCAGAUUAGAGGAGGUUCCCUUUGAGCCGCCCCCCAGAAAAGAGAUACCCCUGGCCUGGACAGCACCGGAGGUAGCUGUCGAUCCAGCCACUGAAGAGGCCUACAAGUUCCCACAGGUUCCCUGUGGAGAAGAUCGCUGGGAUUCGUAUGGCUCAUUCAUCAAGGACUGCUUCCGGUCAUCCAAGCUACAGGGCCAGCUCCACAGGCGUGUCAUGGAGCACUCAUCUGUCUUGCACGAAGAAUGCCUUUUGAGGGUUCUACCGCUUACAAGAAAUGCUAUAUAUUCUAUGGUGAUGAUCGACAGGCUGCAACCCCGGUCAAGUCCCAACAGAUCUCCAACCUGCCUCUGCAGGGCUCGUACAGGAGACCCUGGAUGUCUGAGUACAACGAUAUUUAUGGGGCCUUCCUACACUCCUUCUCUGGGCCCCGUCUCAUUUGCACGUCACAGACACACACACUCCCAGAGCCAUCCGUCCUGUAUGUCGCCCAGCCCCAGUCCGCCCGCAACUGCCCACAAACUCAGCAGCACUACCAGACAGAAUACCGCCAGUUCUACACAGCCCCCCAGGCCACAAUGGUGAGGUCAAGGAGCUGCCCUGAAUACCACUAGAAAAACAAGUGAAGAAAAACAGACUAUUCUGUUUAUAUAACAAGUACAAUGUAUGGAAAUUAAAGUAUGUUUAAUCCUAUAUUAAACGGCUGAAUUAGAAGAAUUUCCUUUGGUCAAGCUCCACAUCUACAUAGCAACAGGACAAUCUGCCCUGUCAUUAUCGUUGGAUUUGAAUGAAUGCAAGACUGAUUCUAAACGUCUAUUCGCUGGGCAGCAUGGAAUCAGCACAGCCAGACACUUUGAGUGUUAUGUGGAGGCUGCUGUCUGCUAUCUUAUGUUCUUUCAGUUUUAUGCCAUGAAUGAUGGUGACUGACCAAAAUAUAUCCUAGGAUGCAUUAAUAGUAAGGAUGUGCAGCUGCUCAGAUUUUCUGUAUAAUUCCCUUUAAUAUGUUUUAAUAGGUAUUAACCCUUUAAGACACAAGGGACAUAUGUGUCCCACAAAUAUUUUUGCAAUUAGGUGUAUGAAACAGGGUUUAACCUGUACGGACAUGUUGGAGCUGGUCAUUCAAUGGUUAAAGUUAAUUACUUGGAAAACCUGCACACCGAAUAGUUUGAAUUCAGUUCUGUCUGGAUGUAUUGUUAGAUUAUGUAGUAUUCACAAAGGGCUAUUAUUUUUUCCAUUGUCCAGUAAAACAGAUUUGGAAUAACAAGACAACAGGCACAUCGCAGUACUGUCCGUAGAUGUUUGAUUUUAUUCAAAACACAACUAAAUCAAAACUAGUGCCAUAAAUACAGCUAUGUAGCUCGAUUGUGACAACACAGCAACCACAUAAAAAUCAAUCCGGAGCACAGGUCAUGGAACAUUUUAUGCUACCUUGGAGUUGGCAAAAUAGUUCUAAAAGACUUUUGAGAGAGAAAUGUUGUUAACGACAGAAACCUUAAACUCAAGUUUUCCCAACAAGUUUUUGUCCCAAUUUAAAUUAAAAAUAAGACGUUUUACAGUUGUUUGUUUUGGUAAGGGUAACUGAGGAAAAUGGUCAUUUGUGUAUGAAAGUAGUUGAAACACACUUGUUUGGUAAAAGCUACAAAUCGUUUUAAUUACAGUAAUACUGAGACUAGUGUUGACUUGUAUUGGGUGCCCAGUAUGAAGCCAGUAUCAAAGUGUUGGGACUAUGGCAGCCAUCUAAGGUCACAGGUCAAAGUGAAGGGUGCCAUUAGAUUUAUACAACACAGCAAAUAUGAAAGUGGCAGCUUAAAUGGUUUGCGAUUAGUGACAGGAUGCUUAAUGGUCUAUUUUGAGAUAUGUGAGGGGAUGCUCUUUCGAUACUCCUUGACUUUAACAAGUGCUAUUGCCCUUCACUAAACUCACAAGCACCAAGUAAAAAGGUUUUACUGACUAUCACUGCUGUCUGUCUAAAUAGACCUUGCACAUCUCCAUAUAAUCCCACAGCAACAGCUACUGUGAAUUCCAUUCCAAGGGACAGCGGACCUCUUUUUGGUUGAUGUCAUAUCUGGUGACUGCUUUCAGUUUUAUUGCCGAUGCCAAAUUCUUUAAACAUGACAGCAGGUCCCAACCCAGUAAAUUCCUGCGAUCUGGUACUAGCAUGCUGUGUCUUAGGGCAAAAGCUUUACACCAGUGCAACUGCUGUGUGUGGUCAUCGUCUCUAAACCUCAAUACACAUUAACACCCAACAAACCCUGUGUAAAAACAAAACCAGUGAAUAUUAACCUAGAUUUACUUUAUUAAUUGUUGUAUUUCCUCUCCACGUGUAGCGUUUUCACAACAAGGGGUGAAAACUCAAUGAAUUGCACUGCUUCCUUAGAGAUUAUACGUACCUGGAAUGGUGAAUAAAUGCAACUUAAACAGUAAUUGUUAUAGAUGUCUGUUCCAUCAUUUAUGGUUGGUGUCAGAGUCCCUUACAUUAUGUGGUGCACAAUCAGGGUUUGUGAAACAUUAGGUUAAAGAUUACCUGUUGUAGUUUUCAAAGCUUUUACUGUUGACUUUAUUUUCGGACAUGUAAUUUCUUUACUAUGAAUUAACUUUGCAAUUCCUAGUAAUGCUUCAAAAUAACCCAAUUGUUUCAAUAGAAUUUCAUAGGAGCAACAUUUGAAUAACUCGUUUUUGUAGUUUUGUAAUGUAAUGAAGUGUACCAUGCCUUGAAUAACAGCUAGUCCGCCAGUGUUCACAGCAGUUUUGGAUUCUUCUUUAAUGUGUAAUCUAUCAAACUUUCUUCACAGUGUAGGAAUUACAAAAGUGAAAAGGUGAUUUUUAUGAUGCAUUAUUUUUUUUUUAGAAUCUUACUACAGAUCAAAGUCACCCAUCAGGACAAUGACAUGUAUUGCAGUAAUGUGGCAUUGUAAUGCAUAUUGUGAUGUGUAAUGCACUGGGACUUCAGUUGAAUCCCACAACACAUACCAGAGAGGAUUCUUAAACUGCAGUGAAAAAACAAUCCCAUAAAUAAUACUUAUUUUGCACUUUGACUAGCUACAUAGGUGUCAUAUGUGCAGUUCUGAAAGAAACACAUGUUAAAGCAAAUGUUUGUCAUUUUAAAAGCAGAAUAUCUGGUACUUUGUUUAAACAAAAAUCUAAAUUUCUGUGAUUUUAUUCUCAGGAUAAAUAUUCUCUUUAUCCUCAUCUGUUGCACAUGCACGUCAUGGGUCACUUCAUCUCAGGAGUGUCUUCUGUGUCAAAACGUUUUACUGGCUGAAAGCAUGUUGGUCAACAGCAGACACGGGUGAUUGGUUUAAGAAGGCAUUAAGAGGCCAACCACGCAUAUAGUUGCCUUGUAGCAAACUUUAACUUCGAUAACUUGGUCUGACUGCUGCCAUAUGUAAAAUGACAGAGGAUACUAAUAAUAAUAAAACACCCACACAGUUUGAAACCAUCCCAGACAAAGCUGUGUUCUGAACUCUCAACAUCAAGAGAAAGGGAACUCUGCAACCAUAAUACCAAAGAAUGCUUUAAUAACCCCAGUGUUGCAAACUACCAAAGUGAGUCAUAAAAAUGUAUAAAUGCAAGUUGGCACUGAUUAGUAAGUGUACUGUGUAAGAGAAGUGUACCAGUACAAGGGAUUAAAAGAACAAAAAAGGAUUCAAGUACCUCUUAAAAACUUUAUUUGAUCAAACAAAAAAUAUAUAUCCCAGUACCAGGAGCAACAAAGGAAAUGUCACACAGUAGGGUUAUAACAGCAUUCUUAUAUAUUUGCAGAGUUGCAGGUACCCUUUCUACAAUAUUCAGCUCAAGCACUUCUUUGGGAAACUUGUAGCAGUGUGCAGUUCUCCAGGUGUUAUACCUCUCAGCAAGAAAUUGGCAGAAGGCUUGUUCAAAUAAUUAGAUUUUUAUAUUAUAUAUUUUAAUUAGAAAAAAAACACCACUGUACUUUGUCGAACCACUUGUUGUGGAGUAAAAAGCUAUUGGAAGUCCAAUUUACAAGUCAAGCAUCCCUUCUCGGUGACUUAUUUUAAAAAAACCCUCAACUUUAAAUGACAUUGAUCACACCAGGAAAAAAAGCACUGGUGAACUCCUUAGUUGCAGACUGAGGGCUUGUGCGGACCAUGGCUUUGUAACCUCAUGAAUUAAAAACAAGGUCAAUCACUGCGUCCACCAUUGAGACCAAAGUAAAAUAUCUAGGGUGUAAUGCUCUCCUCAGCAGAGAUCAAUAGAAAUUUGAAACUGGUGGUUUAAUGGUUGCAAAAACCAAAUAGCUCUACAGUUCUUAUAAAUCCAGUUUCAUUGAAUUAUCAUCCCCUUUCCUCGGGCACUGGCUGGCAAAUGCUAAUGCAUUACAGAAGUCUGUCCAGAAAUGCCAGGAAACACGACAUGUCUAGAAACGUGACAAUGGUUCUGCACCAAAAAAAAUCAAAUAAAUCUAAGAUAAAAUUCAUAAAAGGCACAGAAUGUCUCUGCAGUGGUGAGCUG